rnacentral:lncRNA from 1 species
UGUAAGAAAUGCAAACAGUGUUAUAAAUGAUAGCGACAGUGACACAGAAAGACAGCAAGAACCAGCUGCAACGAAGAGGCAGAAAGCAGCAUCUAAAAAUGCUGAGCAAUCAAAGCGAUCAACCAAUCUGGCUAACAUGAUAAAGGAAAGAUACAGGAAGGAAAGUCUUAAAUUAUUUGAUGGCAACAGUGUAUGUGAUGAAGAUUGCAAACAUUUAAGAGAAAAUAGAACGCUUCUGGCAACAAUCAAACACCUAAAAAGUGAAAAUGAAAGACUUCGGGAACAAAUCGAAAGUAGUGAUGAUUUAAAAGUUUCUUUGAGAAAACUGAAGAAGUAUGUGGCAUCCUUGGAAGGCUUUUCAAACCAAGCACUAAAAUUUGGUUCACAACAGAGCGUACAAGCAUACGAGCCUUCCGCAAGAUUGUCUCCUUUGACAACCAUGGAUCAUGGAAGAUCGUCUCCUAUUUCAUGUGUGUCAAGCUCAUCAACCAGAUCUUCUCCCACAUCGAUGAGUGGUUUUUCAGAAUUUGCUACAGAGGAACCAACCGUAAUUGCAAUUAGCGAAGACAACUUGUUGAAAGACAAAAGUAAGGAAAUACAAGGCUGUGAUGAUGACAACUAGGUCCAGGAGUUAGAGAAGGACACAUAUGCUUCCUCAAAAAUUUGUGGAAGUGACGAACAGUCUGGAUUGGCUGAUGUUAUGGCAGAUAAGGUUGUUCUCGGACCAGGCUUGUCGAUUUCAAAGAAUGUGCUUCAACGAAUAAAGACGAAGAAAGUAGGAUCAUUUAUCGCAAACCUGAUGGGAGCAACACUCACAAGAGAGUACAUGGCGACACACAGUUACAAAGGGCAGAAAGGGAAGAAUGGGCAAACAAAGCCAAAGCUUGAUCCAAACUACACAGCUUCCCUAAUAAAAUACGCCAAGAGUGUAAGAUACACCGAACUUCAGCGGCCUGUUAUUGACGAGGACAUUGUCAAAGCUAUCAAGUUUAAACUGAACAAUGAGGAACAGGCGUUCAAAAAGCAACAAGAAUAAC